CAGCCGUAUUCAUCACCCUCUCCACUCUCCCUUUCUUAUUCAUUCAUGGCCGCCUCUCACUCUCACACUCAACACCCUCGGCAACUCCCUGUUAAACACCCCGAUCUCAAAGGGAGAACAAGCUAAAACCAAACCCGAAAUGAGCCCCAACUUUCUUCCUCAUAACAUCAUUCAUCAACGAUUUCCUUUCCUCGGCCACCAUACAUCUUCACUCCCGACGACAGCUCCGAUGCUCGGACAAGGAGUUGCGCUCACACGACCCAUAUUUGGUGGCGAGAAUGGCGUGCGGCGCUGGUAGCUUGCUUCACUAGGUCUCGGCUCGGUCAUGGCAUCGGCUGGAAACUGGAAGGGCUGCUGGUGGCUUGGUAUUAAUUUGGAGUUCAAAUUCGGGCCUGGUUCGGGUCUUCGGGUAUUCGAGUUGAUUUUAUGGACUCCGGGAUUUGUUGUAAUAUGAGUUUGUAAAUUGG